CACGUAGGGUGCGAGCGUUGUCCGGAAUUAUUGGGCGUAAAGAGCUCGUAGGCGGUGUGUCGCGUCGGCCGUGAAAACCUGUGGCUUAACCAUGGGCUUGCGGUCGAUACGGGCAUCACUGGAGUUCGGCAGGGGAGACUGGAAUUCCUGGUGUAGCGGUGAAAUGCGCAGAUAUCAGGAGGAACACCGGUGGCGAAGGCGGCUAUCUGGACCGACAUUGACGCUGAGGCGCGAAAGCGUGGGGAGCAAACAGG
rnacentral:rRNA from 1 species